CAAAGUGCUAGGAUUACAUGCAUGAGCCACCGCGCCCAGCCUGAAGUUAUUUUAAAGUCAGGAGCCCUUACCUUGGAGGGAAUAACCUGGGCUGCUCCCGGAUCUCGGCACACACUUUCUGCCGGUUCAGCAGGUACCCGGUGGUCAGGGCACUGGUGCCCAUGGUAGCAAACAGCAGAGAAGCAUUGCGGCCAGUUAGCAACUUAGAAAAGAUACUGGCCAUCUUUCUUCUUGGAUGAGUGUCUGGAAAGCAGAGAAGCUGGAUUAGAUAGCUGCAUAGGAUGACCCUGAGCCACAGCAUAGAGGUCAACAGGCAAGAGAACCGCAGGAGCCAUAGCCUCUCUUUCCGGUUUUUCUCUCUCUCUCUCUCUGUCUCUCUCUCUCUCUCUCUCUCUCUCUCUGUGUGUGUGUGUGUGUGUGUGUGUGUGUGUUUUCUAUUUCUUGCUUUGCUUUUUUCUUCAUAUUGCUUGGGAAAAUCUGGGUAGUUUUAGACAUUAAUGUCUAAACUUCCUUAACGCCAUGCCUUCUCUCUGUUAAUAUGAUAAAAAAUAACAGCAGAGGAUGUCUUCUUCCAGCUAUUUGACAGACCAGGUGCUCUUUUGAACUUCGCCACUGCAUCACAACUAGACCCUGAACAGGAUGGAUUUCUGGACUUCUGAAAGGUAGGAGAAAUUUCUGAGGACCACCCUGGAAUAGGGGCUGACACUGGGAUUCUCCCAUUGAAGUAGGACCUUUGAAAGAGGCUGAAGUGGCACAAAGUCAGCAGACCCCAACUUCUGGCUCCUGCCUGAAGCAAGUCUAAAAGCUCUCUGAGGAAAUUAUAUUCAGUUUAGGCCCUGAAUUCCUACACAUUAAGAUGAAACAACUCCCAAAGAUCGCCAAACACACAAGGAGGUACAAUGAAUGAGAGUCAACAGAAGAAAUAGCAGAUGUAGACUGCUAAUGACUGAAGAUGCUGGAACUGUCAGACAGUAAUAUCAGUAAGCCCUAUAUUGAAUGUUUAAAGUGUGGAAUCAUAGUUAUGAGCAAGCAACAAGAGACUGUUAAGAAUGACCAAGUUGAUUUGAAAGAACCAAAUUGCACCACUCAUCAUGAUGCAGCUGAACACAGAAUGAACUGGAAGAUAUAUAUCUUAAGAAAUUACUCAGAAUGUAGCACAGAGAAAUGAGAAAAUGGAAAAUAGAUGUAAAUUAAGAGAGAUGAUGGAUAGAAUGUCAAGCUCAAAUACACAUCAAAGUGAAGUCCCAGAAAGAGAAAACAGAGAAGUCAGAUUUGAAGAGGAAUGGCUGAGACAUUUUUAAAACUGAUAAAAGAAUCCAUGAUUCAAGAGGUAUAACAUAAUCUAAGCAAACAAAAAAGACAUUGACACCUAGACAAAUAAUGAAACUGCAGAAUAUUGGUGACAAAGACGUGAAAAGCAAUCAGAAAAGACAGUUUACCUACAAAGAAAUGACAAACGAGCUGAUUUUUUGAUAAUAGCCCAGUUAAACUAAAACCAGUUCCUGAAAACUGUGUCUGGAAGAUUUCUUCCUCAACUUCAACAGACAGACAACCUGACUUGGCGAACCCCCCUUCCCUCAAUGCAGUUUCCCCAUGACAAGUGUUGAGCCUUACGAAGCACACCGUCCUCAUAACUGACCGCAGACUGCAGCCAGUUCUGGCCGGUUUACAGAGACUGCACACCAAGUGUCUUCGUGCCCCGUGUUUCAUCUUUUGAGGUAUACAGUCCAAUUUUACUACAUUUUAAUGUUAAGUCUCCAUCCCAAAGUGAACAUGGGUUGUAUGUAACAUGUAUGAUUACUAUGCAUGCAUUAGGGCCUCAUAAAUAUUCAUAAGAUUAUCCUAUAACCUACUAAAUGUAUAUGUAUGGCUCAUCUCAUUGGGCAUAAAUCUCAGCCUCUCCCUUUUUCUCUGAAGUGCUUGCUUUUGGCUUUGGCCAGAGGCUCCAGCCUGCAGACUGUAACCCUUUAUAAGAAAUAAAGAUAUAUUUUUUUCUAAAUGUA